rnacentral:rRNA from 1 species
GGGCGUUCCAGGGGCUACCAUGCAGUCGAGCGGUAACAGGGGUAGCUUGCUACCCGCUGACGAGCGGCGGACGGGUGAGUAAUGCAUGGGAAUCUGCCCGAUAGUGGGGGAUAACUCGGGGAAACCCGAGCUAAUACCGCAUACGUCCUACGGGAGAAAGCAGGGGAUCUUCGGACCUUGCGCUAUCGGAUGAGCCCAUGCCGGAUUAGCUUGUUGGUGAGGUAACGGCUCACCAAGGCUGCGAUCCGUAGCUGGUCUGAGAGGAUGAUCAGCCACACCGGGACUGAGACACGGCCCGGACUCCUACGGGAGGCAGCAGUGGGGAAUAUUGGACAAUGGGGGAAACCCUGAUCCAGCCAUGCCGCGUGUGUGAAGAAGGCCUUCGGGUUGUAAAGCACUUUCAGUGAGGAAGAAUGCCUUGUGGCCAAUACCCACGAGGAAGGACAUCACUCACAGAAGAAGCACCGGCUAACUCCGUGCCAGCAGCCGCGGUAAUACGGAGGGUGCAAGCGUUAAUCGGAAUUACUGGGCGUAAAGGGCGCGUAGGCGGCUCGUCAAGCCGGAUGUGAAAGCCCCGGGCUCAACCCGGGAACGGCAUUCGGAACUGGCUGGCUAGAGUGCAGGAGAGGAAGGUAGAAUUCCCGGUGUAGCGGUGAAAUGCGUAGAGAUCGGGAGGAAUACCAGUGGCGAAGGCGGCCUUCUGGACUGACACUGACGCUGAGGCGCGAAAGCGUGGGUAGCAAACAGGAUUAGAUACCCUGGUAGUCCACGCUGUAAACGAUGUCGACCAGCCGUUGGAUCCCUUGAGGAUUUAGUGGCGUAGUUAACGCAAUAAGUCGACCGCCUGGGGAGUACGGCCGCAAGGCUAAAACUCAAAUGAAUUGACGGGGGGCCCGCACAAGCGGUGGAGCAUGUGGUUUAAUUCGAUGCAACGCGAAGAACCUUACCUGCUCUUGACAUCCUGCGAAUCCUCCUCAGAGAUGGGAGAGUGCCUUUCGGGGAGCGCCAGAGACAGGUGCUGCAUGGCUGUCGUUCAGCUCGUGUUGUGAAUGUUGGGUUUAGUCCCGUAACGAGCGCACCCCUAUCCCUUUUUGCCCAGCCGGUUCCGGCCGGAUCUUCAGGUAGACUGCCGUGACUACCCGGAGGAUGGUGGGACGACGUCCAGUCAUCAUGGCCUUAACGAGCCAGGACUUACCCACCACCGGGUGGCCUUCA